AUCCAGCGAACUUGGCAGAGAUGCCUUGGUGCCUUCGGGAACGCUGAGACAGGUGCUGCAUGGCUGUCGUCAGCUCGUGUUGUGAAAUGUUGGGUUAAGUCCCGNAACGAGCGCAACCCUUAUCCUUGUUGCCAGCGAUUCGGUCGGGAACUCAAAGGAGACUGCCGGUGAUAAACCGGAGGAAGGUGGGGAUGACGUCAAGUCAUCAUGGCCCUUACGAGUAGGGCUACACACGUGCUACAAUGGCGCAUACAAAGAGAAGCGACCUCGCGAGAGCAAGCGGACCUCAUAAAGUGCGUCGUAGUCCGGAUCGGAGUCUGCAACUCGACUCCGUGAAGUCGGAAUCGCUAGUAAUCGUGGAUCAGAAUGCCACGGUGAAUACGUUCCCGGGCCUUGUACACACCGCCCGUCACACCAUGGGAGUGGGUUGCAAAAGAAGUAGGUAGCUUAACCUCCGGGAGGGCGCUUACCACUUUGUGAUUCAUGACUGGGGUGAAGUCGUAACAAGGUAGGCGUAGCGAG
rnacentral:rRNA from 1 species